CAGGGACACCCCCCGGCGGGGGCGGCGCCGGGCGGGACCCCCCCCGGGGGCACCUUCGCGCAGGACACGACCAAGUUCUGGUACAAACCGGGGCUGUCCCGGGAGGAAGGGAGCCUCCCAGCUCUGGUGCUGCAGCACUCCAUCACCCCUAUCUCACUGCCUUGCACCCUCCGCAUCCCCCAUGCAGGUGGGCACCCCAAAAACUGCAGGAACACCCAAAAACCCUGUGGAUACCCCACAACUCCUGCAUGACCCCAAAACCCCCACAGGGACCCCCCUCAAAGUGCAGUUACCCCACCCCAACCCCUUCCUGGGACACACCAAAACCCCCUGGGAGAAACCCAAAACCAUGGGACACCC
rnacentral:lncRNA from 1 species